CCUACGGGUGGCAGCAGUCGAGAAUUUUUGACAAUGGGGGAAACCCUGAUCGAGCGACGCCGCGUGGAGGAUGAAGGUCUUCGGGUUGUAAACUCCUGUCAUUUGGGAACUAGUACCAGAAGAGGAAGAGACGGCUAACUCUGUGCCAGCAGCCGCGGUAAUACAGAGGUCUCAAGCGUUGUUCGGAUUCAUUGGGCGUAAAGGGUGUGUAGGUGGCGCGCUAAGUCGGGUGUGAAAUUUCGGAGCUUAACUCCGAAACUGCAUUCGAUACUGGCGUGCUUGAGGACUGGAGAGGAGACUGGAAUUUACGGUGUAGCAGUGAAAUGCGUAGAUAUCGUAAGGAAGACCAGUGGCGAAGGCGGGUCUCUGGACAGUCCUGACACUGAGACACGAAGGCCAGGGGAGCAAACGGGAUUAGAUACCCUUGUAGUC
rnacentral:rRNA from 1 species